CCCCAUAUGCCGCGAGGUGAAAUGAAUUUCGCCUGAGGAUGAGCUCGCGUCUGAUUAGCUAGUUGGUGGGGUAAGAGCCUACCAAGGCUUCGAUCAGUAGCUGGUCUGAGAGGAUGAUCAGCCACACUGGGACUGAGACACGGCCCAGACUCCUACGGGAGGCAGCAGUGGGGAAUUUUCCGCAAUGGGCGAAAGCCUGACGGAGCAACGCCGCGUGAGGGAUGAAGGCCUCUGGGCUGUAAACCUCUUUUAUCAAGGAAGAAGAUCUGACGGUACUUGAUGAAUAAGCCACGGCUAAUUCCGUGCCAGCAGCCGCGGUAAUACGGGAGUGGCAAGCGUUAUCCGGAAUUAUUGGGCGUAAAGCGUCCGCAGGCGGUCUUACAAGUCUGUCGUUAAAGCGUGGAGCUUAACUCCAUUUCGGCGAUGGAAACUGUAAGACUAGAGUGUGGUAGGGGCAGAGGGAAUUCCCGGUGUAGCGGUGAAAUGCGUAGAUAUCGGGAAGAACACCAGUGGCGAAGGCGCUCUGCUGGGCCAUAACUGACGCUCAUGGACGAAAGCUAGGGGAGCGAAAGGGAUUAGAUACCCCUGUAGUCCUAGCCGUAAACGAUGAACACUAGGUGUCGGGGGAAUCGACCCCCUCGGUGUCGUAGCCAACGCGUUAAGUGUUCCGCCUGGGGAGUACGCACGCAAGUGUGAAACUCAAAGGAAUUGACGGGGGCCCGCACAAGCGGUGGAGUAUGUGGUUUAAUUCGAUGCAACGCGAAGAACCUUACCAGGGUUUGACAUCCUGCGAAUCCCUUGGAAACUUGGGAGUGCCUUCGGGAGCGCAGUGACAGGUGGUGCAUGGCUGUCGUCAGCUCGUGUCGUGAGAUGUUGGGUUAAGUCCCGCAACGAGCGCAACCCACGUCUUUAGUUGCCAGCAUUUAGUUGGGCACUCUAGAGAGACCGCCGGUGAUAAACCGGAGGAAGGUGUGGAUGACGUCAAGUCAUCAUGCCCCUUACAUCCUGGGCUACACACGUACUACAAUGCUACGGACAAAGGGCAGCAAACUCGCGAGAGCUAGCCAAUCCCAUAAACCGUGGCUCAGUUCAGAUCGUAGGCUGCAACUCGCCUACGUGAAGGAGGAAUCGCUAGUAAUCGCAGGUCAGCAUACUGCGGUGAAUACGUUCCCGGGCCUUGUACACACCGCCCGUCACACCAUGGAAGUUGGCCACGCCCGAAGUCGUUACUCCAACCCUUGUGGAGGAGGAUGCCGAAGGUGGGGCUGAUGACUGGGGUGAAGUCGUAACAAGGUAGCCGUACCGGAAGGUGCGGCUGGAUCACCUCCU
rnacentral:rRNA from 1 species